AUGCUGCUAGUUUGGGAAGCUCGUUGCCUUUUUGUCUUCAUCAUAAUUAGGAACCACCUUACAGUCAGAGAAGACGGCAUUCUAGAAAAUGACAGAAAUGGCACCGAACCAAACGCCGCUGUGACACGCACAUCCAGCUACGCCCUGUGCCUAUGCAAAGCAGCCGAAGCCCCAGGGGUGCCACUGUGCCAUUGGGCGGCCAGGCUGCUGUGGUUUGGGAGGAUCCGGUCUUGCAGGAACAAGUCCUUUCCCCGGGUGGGAAGUCAGGCCAAGGUAAGAAAGGAGAGAAGACUCACGGAAGCAUCACAGACGGGCAGCCAGCUGGUCCCCACAACCCUUCUAGAAACACCGUGCUGGUCAACGUCCUACAGGUCUCGGCCGAGCCUGCUCAGUGGAAGAGCGUCCCCAGGACCACAUGAGCACGCUUCCCAUCAUCGCGGAUUUCCCCCAAGUCCAGCUUAUAAAACACUCAAAGAUCCGACGAAACUUGACCCUGUUCUUAGAACCAGCCCCCCAACCCCCCAGGCCAGCCCCAGGCCCACGCCCCUGCGCCCUCCAUGGCUCAGCCAGGUACAGGGCACAACAGUGUCCAUCCCUGAUCCGCUAGCAGGUCGCCUGCUCCAUUAGCAAAAAACAGUUUCAAAAAGCUUUUGGGGGGAUCCCUGGGUGGCUCAGCGGUUGGACGCCUGCCUUCAGCCCAGGGGCGAUCCUGGAGUCCCGGGAUCAAGUCCCACAUGGGGCUCCCGGCCUGGAGCCUGCUUCUCCCUCCUCCUGUGUCUCUGCCUCUCUCUCUGUGUGUGUCUAUCAUAAAUAAAUAAAUAAAUAAAUAAAUAAAUAAAUAAAUA
rnacentral:lncRNA from 1 species